UACGAGGGGUGCAAGCGUUGCUCGGAAUUAUUGGGCGUAAAGGGUAGGUAGGUGGUCUCAUUUGUCCGGGGUGAAAGCCUUGAGCUUAACUCAAGAAGUGCCCCGGAAACGGUGAGACUCGAGUACUGGAGAGGGUCGUGGAAUUCCCGGUGUAGCGGUGAAAUGCGUAGAUAUCGAGAGGAACACCUGCGGCGAAGGCGGGUAGCUGGGCCGACACUGACGCUGAGGCGCGAAAGCCAGGGGAGCGAACGGG
rnacentral:rRNA from 1 species